UAUGAUAUUUGGUGAGCUUAGAAGAAAUUAGAAAACAUAAUCGUUUCUCAACCGAAUGUAUAUUCGCAACGUUUCUUCACCUUGAAUUUGCCUUGGGUUGGCUCUGCUCUAAGGAGGUGUCUUUGUUGUUUUUGAUUGUUUGUUGUGUUUCUUCACUUUGAUAGGAUAAAGGUUUGUUCCGCAUGAUGUUCCAGUGAGCUUUCAGUGUUGGAUAGAAGCGGUGAUUUGGUCUAGAAUGUCUAUAUUAUAUUGUGGGAACUGAUUUUUCUAGUUUUAUGCUUGAGAAUGGUGGCCUUUGGUGGCCAAAGGCGGCUUUUCUGGAUGUUCGUAGAUGCUCUUUUGCUGUCAGGUAAGUCUAUUCUAGCGGUUUUGUUUUUGUGUUAGUUCUCAAAAAAACUAUUAGCGUCUUUUUGUUUUAAGGUUUUGAAGAUAGACCUCAUAAAGAAAUUGCUCGUGGUAACAAUAAUGAAGAUUCAAUUUUUGUUGGAGAUGGGACAAUUAUACAAAUGUCUGAGCCUCACGGUUCAACAUUGAUGUUCUUCAUCGAACCUAUGCUAGCUGCUUUCCACUUAGCUUUCAUUAUAGUUUUCGUAAGUUUAUUUAGUUAUAGAUUUUGGUCUUUAUAUCUUCUUUGUUUUUUUCUGUAAUCGUUUUCACAAUUUAGACCAUACUAAACAACAUAAAAUUCUCAAAAUUAUAAAAUAAUCACUAUAAAAAAAA
rnacentral:sRNA from 1 species